UCAAGAACUUACACACAAAAACUCAAACAAACAGCUAAGCUAAAAAUGAAAAUCAACAACAUUCUUCUCAACGGAUUGGGUUUGGGAUUUUGGUGGUGAGGCAGUGGUGUCGUGAGAAUAGGCAACAUUGAAAGAAGUGUUGAACGAUAUUAAGGUGUAGGUGCAGGUGAACGCUAGAGCAUUACGAGACUACACUGAAGUUAUCUGGACGUGGAGCAUUCAUCUAGACAUGGUUCAAGUUCUCAGCAUCCAGAUCACGCAUAGAUCGAUUUCUCGAUUUCCAGUUCAGCAGAUUCAAUGGUGAGUCCUUAUUCUCUGAGGACAAUAAUCACGAGUUCAUUUCAGUCAUUUAGUUUCAGUUUUUGCUAGACUUAGCUGGGGCUUGUCCCAGUAUUUCUAGUCCAGUUAGAGGCUAUUUUCAGACAUAGUUAGUUUCAAUGUAAUUGUUAGUUUAUAUUUUUCUUUGUAUUAAACUCAUCAGUCUUCGUAUAGCUCAGAUUUAACAU